rnacentral:rRNA from 1 species
AUUGAACGCUGGCGGCAGGCCUAACACAUGCAAGUCGAACGAGUGGCGGACGGGUGAGUAAUGUCUGGGAAACUGCCUGAUGGAGGGGGAUAACUACUGGAAACGGUAGCUAAUACCGCAUACCAUCAGAUGUGCCCAGAUGGGAUUAGCUAGCUGGUGGGGUAAAGGCUCACCAAGGCGAAGAUCCCUAGCUGGUCUGAGAGGAUGACCAGCCGCACUGGAACUGAGACACGGUCCAGACGACUACGGGAGGCAGCAGUGGGGAAUCUUGCACAAUGGUCGGAAGCCUGAUGCAGCCAUGCCGCGUGGAUGAAGAAGGCCUUCGGGUUGUAAAGUACUUUCAGCGGGGAGGCGUUACCCGCAGAAGAAGCACCGGCUAACUCCGUGCCAGCAGCCGCGGUAAUAC